rnacentral:rRNA from 1 species
AACGAACGCUGGCGGCAUGCCUAACACAUGCAAGUCGAACGAGACCUUCGGGUCUAGUGGCGCACGGGUGCGUAACGCGUGGGAACCUGCCCUUAGGUUCGGAAUAACUCCCCGAAAGGGGUGCUAAUACCGGAUAAUGUCUUCGGACCAAAGAUUUAUCGCCUUUGGAUGGGCCCGCGUUGGAUUAGCUAGUUGGUAGGGUAAAAGCCUACCAAGGCGACGAUCCAUAGCUGGUCUGAGAGGAUGAUCAGCCACACUGGGACUGAGACACGGCCCAGACUCCUACGGGAGGCAGCAGUGGGGAAUAUUGGACAAUGGGCGAAAGCCUGAUCCAGCAAUGCCGCGUGAGUGAUGAAGGCCUUAGGGUUGUAAAGCUGUUUUACCCGGGAUGAUAAUGACAGUACCGGGAGAAUAAGCUCCGGCUAACUCCGU